CAUGUAGUUUAGUAUAUUCAAGCCGCAGUCCCCACGAUCCCCUUCCUGUUCCCCACGCACGAGCGCGCGUCACCGCCACCGCCGGUCGCCCCGUCCUCGACUGGAUCUGGACCCUCCCUGCCGGGAUCCACGUGCCCAGCCACCUGCGCCGUCCCAUGCGCCAUCGCACGCCGGAGGACCUGCGCCUUGCCUUCCUCGCCAUCGAGCACAAAGGCGCUCGAUCCAGACGACGCCACCGUUGACCGCUCCUCUGCCUCGCCGCCUCCGCCGUCCCCAUGUGUCUCCUGGACAUGGAGAGAGAGCACGGGAGGGAAGGAGGAAGGAAGAGGGAGGCGUGGCCGUGGUUGGUUCUCCGGCGGCGCUGGAUCGGUGCAUGGGCGCAGAGCUCCUGCUCGGGGCGCGAAGAUCUAGGGAGGGACUCGGGUGCGAGGCUGCGGGUCUAUGCAGAGAUGGCACUGCUCCUUCAACUUUUGAAGAAUGCGCUGAGACAUCAGCUAGAUCCGCAGGUUUUGCUCCCCAAAUCCAUCCCUUCUCUUCUUUGGUCGAAUCUGGACUGUUAAUUCCGUCAAGAGGUGUGAGUCAUCGUUUUACUGGAUGCUCUCUCGAUCAUUUCUUCAUAUGCAUUUUGUGGGUAGCAAAAUGUUCUCUCUGUAUGGAUUUGAAAAAGGACCAAAUCUUACGAAAUACUUCUUAAAUAGGAUGUGCGAUUUUGAUAGUAUUUUCUAUGAAUUUUGGGAAAAUUUAUGUUAUAUAGCAUGCUUUAUUAAUUCUUUUAGCUCAAGAUAGCUCCCUUGGUGAUUCUUUUCAAUGAAGGACUUGCUCUCCAGCAUGUGGUUUGGUAUUUCUUGACUGCAAGUAUUCAGCAGCCACAACUGAACUGAAGAUCAGCAAGUAUUUAAGCAACACAUAUGUUUGGUUUGCAUGUGUUAUAACCAGAUCAACGAAGUUUCUGCACAUCAUGAGUAAGAGGUGAAGAAAUCAUGUUUGCAAAUGGCCAUCGAUUAAACUGCAGUAUUUUCCAUGAACUGUGGUAACUCUUGCCUAGAAAAACUGCAUCAGAAAAAGUCUUGCUUCAGGUGAAUUUUUGCGUUAUCAUCUUUUGUACAGGUUGAAACUAUCAAGUGUUAACUUUUGUGGUUUGUUAACAAGAUUGUUCAUCAUAUCCACUUGUGCAGGUACCAUAGCCAGAGUCACUUAUUCGGCAUGGUUUUAUACUGGAAUUAACCACAUAACUAAUUUUGUUUUACCACCUUGACGCCUUCAGUUACAUAGAACUUCUGUCAAUGCCCAACCGAUAAUGAACAAGUACAAUUUUAUAGAUGAUUCAAGUGAAGUUGUGCAAAGUGAAUCAAUUCUGCAAGAUAUCAUGCCAUACAUUUUUCCUUGGUAGCAUUAACAUGUAUAGAUCAUUUUAUUGUGUACAACAAAGUCAACAAUACAUGUUUGUAUAACCAUGGCUUUGGUCAAUUUCUGGCAUCGAGCUUCUGCGAAAAUGUGACCAGGAACUAAUUAUGUCGUAAUUCAGUAUAGAACCUGACACUAAAUAAUACUCCCUUCGUUCACUAAUGUAAGACCUUUUAGCUUUUUCUUGAUCGGUUUCUCUUCUUCAGUUGUUGGCUGCCCGUGCAACAAUUUUUCUUGAACCAAGUACUUUGCACUAUAUUUUGAACUUUCUAAUUUUGUUCCGUGACAUGUUUUUGCAGCCUUCCAUUCAAAAUUAGAUCUGGAGGCCUUCGGAUAGCAAUAAAUUUUACCUUUGUUUGUUCAUGCUUCAUGAAUUUGUUUUCCAACUGAUUAUUUGUUGUUGCAAAUUUCAGAUUUUGACAGGUUUGGGUCCAUCUAUAACAUGCUUGACCGGGCGAUCACGUGGCUAUCGAGCACUCUUAUUUUCUGGUCAUAAGCUCUUACUAAGAUGUUGUCGGUCGGGUGUCCUCUACUACUGAAGUUUUACCAUGAUCUGGUGGUGCUUGAGAGCAGAGACGACAUACUUUCAUCAUCAGUGGCCAAACCCCCACCGCCGCCGGUGCUGUACAGCCCUGUACCCCUUGACAUCCAGUGCCUCGCGUCUGCCCAACAUGAAAACCUCCUCAAUAGGAUAGUGCCCUUUAUGUGCAUGAACUAAUGGGUGUGUUCACAACAUAGAGCAGCUUCUCCAUCCAGUCUCAUGUCUUUCUCUUUAGCAGGGAUCAGUGAGUACUACCGAGCAAAAAAGUCCUUCUCUUCGUCAUAUUUCUUCCUUUUCCUUACUACUUUUGUGGCUCCAAAUCUCAUGAUGGCUCUAUGUCUGUUCUUUUUGUUGACAUGGAUUUUACCCUGAAAGUUUUUCUUCUGAUCUACAAUGUUCUGCCAUCUAAAUUUUUCUGUAUAUUAUGAAUGAGUAGACAGUGGUGCAGAAGCCGAAUUGGAUGAAAUUACGGACUACAGAGAGGUGUAAUUAUUAAUUAAUUCAUUUCUUUAAAAGAUAUGCAACUAGCAGAGUUUCUUACUUUUAUGAUUUGGAUUAUGACCGAAUUGAAGAACUUAUGUGGACAGCCCGGCAGAUUUCAGUGGCAAGACUUUUGUACAAUUACAGUGGCAGAUUUCAGUGGCAAGACUUUUGUACAAUUACAGUGGCAGAUUUCAGAAAUUUGUAGAGCACAUGAUUUACAAGAACAAGAUAUUCUGUCAAGAUAAAACAGUAAUAAACUGCCCUUCUCUGUCAAAACUUACGGAGUACAAAGUUGUCAUGUCUGAUCAGCAAAUGAUUUGCGCUUCUUUGGCACAUAUAUAUCACGGUACAGUAUAUGAUUUUCAAAGUUCUUAAUUUUAAAUUUUCCUUUUCUGGCAUAGCCAUGGAUAUCAACAAUCAGUCAAGCAAAGAAAUAUUCAUGGGAGAUAUACAGGGAUCCACAAGAAUGUGCACCGUGUAGCACUACCCUUUUGUCAUUGAGCCACUAUCACAUUUUGGUCAGCAAUCAGUUCAAGCAGUUCUCGGCGCCUUUAGUCAGAAGCUGGAAUUUACAACUAAACGAACAUCAAGCAACAGAAGAAAGGGUGGUCAUCUCUUUUUCUUGGCACCAAGAUGCCAUACAAGCAUUGAGACAUCGGAAACACAUAAGAAGUUUGUAUAUAAAUGAUUAGCCUUUUAGAAGUAUAUGGCGUUGCUUAAACUAUGUUUCUUUUGGCAACACCAUAUGAAAUGGAGAAAGUUUUAGGUUUAGGAUAAAAUUGUUCUAGAUUUUGAGAAAAUUGUUACAGAUCCAUGAGAAAAAUGUCCCAACUUUAGGAAAUUAACUAUCCAUAUUUUCGGUUAUUGGUUAA